CUAGCCAUAAACCUAGAUAGUUACAUAACAAAACUAUUCGCCAGAGAACUACUAGCAAUAGCUUAAAACUCAAAGGACUUGGCGGUGCUUUACAUCCCU
rnacentral:rRNA from 1 species